GCAGGUGUGCUGGGCGUGGCCCCAAACGGGGGAGGUCCCGGUCCCAGGUGUGUCCCCAGGUGUCCCCAGCUCUCCCAGGUGUGCCCCAGGUGUGCCCCAGGUGUGUCCCAGGUGUGCCCCAGGUGUGCCCCAGCUGCAUCCCCAGGUGUGCCUCAGCUCUCCCAGGUGUGUCCCAGAUGUCCCAGGUGUGUCCCAGCUCUCCCAGCUGUGCCCAGGUAUGCCCCAGGUAUAUCCCAGGUGUGCCCAGGUGUGUCCCAGCUCCCCCAGGUGUGCCCCAGGUGUGCCCCAGGUAUAUCCCAGGUGUGCCCAGGUGUGUCCCAGCUCCCCCAGGUGUGCCCCAGGUGUGCCCCAGGUAUAUCCCAGGUGUGCCCAGGUGUGUCCCAGCUCCCCCAGGUGUGCCCCAGGUGUGCCCCAGGUAUAUCCCAGGUGUGCCCAGGUGUGUCCCAGCUCCCCCAGGUGUGCCCAGGUGUGUCCCAGCUCCCCCAGGUGCCUCACCAGGGUGAAGCCGUCGUAGAUCUGCAUCAGCUCCUCGGUCUUGUACUGCUCCAGGACGAUGACGCCGCCCAGGCCGCCGCCGCGGCGCCGCGCGCAGCCCUCGCAGUGCACCAGAGGUCGGGGUCGCUGAUCUUGACGGUCCUGGCCACGUUCCAGGACACGUGGAUCAUGGGCACGAUGGACUUGACGUUCUUCACCUCGUUCCACUCGUAGCGCUCCAGGGCCAGCUGGUACUGGCGAUGUUGUUGCACCAGCCCGUGGCCUGCACCCAGUGCACGGUGCCGGCGUUGAUCCACACCAGGUCGCCGGGGCGCUGCACGAACCGGUACACCGGGAUGUUGGAGCGGUACAGGUCCUCCAGGAUGGGCCACCACGAGCCCGUCAGGUAGUCCACGCCGUGCCUGCGCCGGGGGCGUGGUCAGCGACAGCCCCGCCCACUCCGGGACACGCCCACGGAGCCCCAACCCCAAAUUCCUCCCCAUUGCUGGGAAAGGGGGAGGGGGGGCGGGAUGGCCACACCCACUGCGCUCGGGGGGGGGGGGGGGGGGGGGGGGGGG
rnacentral:lncRNA from 12 species